GGGACAGUAGCUCAGUCGGUUAGAGCGCGGUCCUUAUAAGGCUGAGGUCGCUGGUUCAAGUCCAGCCUGUCCUACCA
rnacentral:tRNA from 1 species